AUCUUUAAAAUUAAAAAAUUUGGCGGUAUUUUAAUCUAUUCAGAGGAACCUGUUUUUUAAUUGAUAAUCCACAAUUAAAAUUACUUUAAAUUUAAAUUUAUAUAUCGUUGUAAUUUGAAUAUUUUUAUAUUAAAUAUUAUCAGAUCAUGAUAUAGUUAAUUUUAAAGAUAAAAUGGGUUACAUUUAAAAAAUUUAAUAAAUUGGAUUUGAAAGUAAGUUUUAAAAUAUGCACAUAUUGCCCGUCACUUUCAUUUAAAUUGGAAUAAGUCGUAACAAAGUAGAUUUACUGGAAAGUGCAUCUAGAAACAAAUUAUAGCUAACUAAGUUUUUUAGUUACAUUAAAAAGAUAAUUGUAAAUUCAAUUUAAUUUGAAUUUAGUUUUUUAUUAAUAUAGUUAAUUAGGGGAAUUUAACUAAAAUAUUAAGAAAAAAUAUUAUGAUAAUUAAUAUUACUGAAAAGGAAAAUAUUAAUAUAAAAAAAAGAAAUUUUUUAUUAGUGUACCUUGUGUAUCAGGGUUAAUUAAUUUAAUUUCUCGAAUUUAAAAGAGCUAAUUUUAUUGUAUCAAAAAUAUUUUAAAUAGAAUUUUAGUAAUGAAAUGUUAGACGUUUUUAAAUAUAUCUAGUUUUUUAAUAAAAAAAUUUAAUUAGGUUAUCAAUAUUAAAAUUAUUUAGGGAUAAGCUUAAAAAUUUAUAUUUAUAAAUUCAAAAAAAAAAAAAAAUUAUAGGAUUAGAAAUUUUUAUUAAUUAAAAUUUGUUAUUAUGAAUUUUAAAUUUUAUAUUAAAAUAAAAUUUUUUAUGUAAAAAAAUUUGAAAUAAUGAUUAAAUUAGUAAAUAUGUAAUAAGGAAUUCGGCAAUUAAAAUUUUACCUGUUUAUUAAAAACAUGGCCUUUUGUUAAUAAUUUAAGGUCUAAUCUGCUCAAUGAUUAAAUAGCUGCAGUAUAUUGACUGUACAAAGGUAGCAUAAUCAUUAGUUUUUUAAAUGAAAGCUGGAAUGAAUGAUUUGAUAAAAAUUUUACUGUCUCUAGAAUUUUAUUUUUAAUUUAAAAAGAUUAAAUAUUUUAAAAAGACGAGAAGACCCUAUAGAGUUUUUUGAUUGGGGUGAUUAUAAAAUUUAAUGAACUUUUAAUAUUUGAAUAAUUGAUCCUAGAUUAAAAGAAAAAUUACCUUAGGGAUAACAGCGUAAUUUCUUUGGAGAGU
rnacentral:rRNA from 1 species